UACGAAGGGGAGCUAGCGUUGCUCGGAAUCACUGGGCGUAAAGCGCACGUAGGCGGAUUGUUAAGUCAGGGGUGAAAUCCUGGAGCUCAACUCCAGAACUGCCUUUGAUACUGGCGAUCUCGAGUCCGGGAGAGGUGAGUGGAACUGGCGAGUGUAGAGGUGAAAUUCGUAGAUAUUCGCAAGAACACCAGUGGCGAAGGCGGCUCACUGGCCCGGUACUGACGCUGACGGUGCGAAAGCGUGGGAGCAACAGGGAUU
rnacentral:rRNA from 1 species